UACAAACACACCAACUCCGACUUUGAUUCUCUCUUUUAUCUUUUAAAACCUUUCAUUUUGAUCCUGUUAAUAAUUUAUACACGAAUUAAAGACUUCUCAACUUUGCACACCUCAAGAACAUUUCAGCUUUCCUUGCCUUUUUUUUUUUUUUUUUUAAUCUGGGUUUUGCAAAAAAAGGCGGAGUGGUUUUGCUGGAUUCAUGGAAGCUAAUAAAGAAAAGAAUAAUAUCUUUUUGCUUCCACUGAUUCUUCUUUGAUGAGUACGCAUUUGGAUUUGGGUGCUGUAUCUGAUAGGAGAUUCACCAGAUUCUAUUGUUUCUGCGGAUUAUUUACUUGUUACAGCUUGGUUGCCGGCAAAAGUUUGCUAUCCUGCUGGCAGAUAAUAUCUCAUCAUGGAAUGGCUGA